rnacentral:rRNA from 1 species
GAUGAACGCUGGCGGCGUGCUUAACACAUGCAAGUCGAACGGACAGGCCCUGCUUUUGUGGGGUGCUCGAGUGGCGAACGGGUGAGUAACACGUGAGUAACCUGCCCUUGACUUUGGGAUAACUUCAGGAAACUGGGGCUAAUACCGGAUAGGAGCUCCUGCUGCAUGGUGGGGGUUGGAAAGUUUCGUCGGUUGGGGAUGGACUCGCGGCUUAUCAGCUUGUUGGUGGGGUCGUGGCUUACCAAGGCUUUGACGGGUAGCCGGCCUGACAGGGUGACCGGCCACAUUGCGACUGUGAUACGGCCCAGACUCCUACGGGAGGCAGCAGUGGGGAAUAUUGCACAAUGGGCGGAAGCCUGAUGCAGCAACGCCGCGUGCGGGAUGACGGCCUUCGGGUUGUAAACCGCUUUCGCCUGUGACGAAGCGUGAGUGACGGUAAUGGGUAAAGAAGCACCGGCUAACUACGUG